rnacentral:rRNA from 1 species
GAUGAACGCUGGCGGCGUGCCUAAUACAUGCAAGUCGAGCGAACGGACGAGAAGCUUGCUUCUCUGAUGUUAGCGGCGGACGGGUGAGUAACACGUGGAUAACCUACCUAUAAGACUGGGAUAACUUCGGGAAACCGUAGCUAAUACCGGAUAAUAUUUUGAACCGCAUGGUUCAAAAGUGAAAGACGGUCUUGCUGUCACUUAUAGAUGGAUCCGCGCUGCAUUAGCUAGUUGGUAAGGUAACGGCUUACCAAGGCAACGAUGCAUAGCCGACCUGAGAGGGUGAUCGGCCACACUGGAACUGAGACACGGUCCAGACUCCUACGGGAGGCAGCAGUAGGGAACCUUCCGCAAUGGGCGAAAGCCUGACGGAGCAACGCCGCGUGAGUGAUGAAGGUCUUCGGAUCGUAAAACUCUGUCAUUAGGGAAGAACAUAUGUGUAAGUAACUGUGCACAUCUUGACGGUACCUAAUCAGAAAGCCACGGCUAACUACGUG